rnacentral:ncRNA from 1 species
UCUGAUCUGAUGACGGGAACAAGUACCCAGGAGACGGAUAGCCAGAGAGGAAGCGCCGCGGCUGAGAGCGCUUCUCUAUAACGGCCUGGCGAAUGACAUCCCCGAGGACCGUCGGUGAACGGAAAACGGCCGCGCGCGUUUCGGCCGCCAUCCCAGUAACCGGCAGGCGUACGCCGGCGUUAACGGCCAACAAGCGGGACUCCCUGUUGGAGUCCAAUCAGGGUGGCACCACGGGAAUACCAUCUCUCGUCCCUGAC